GUUAUAUGGUCAAGCGAAUAAGCGCACACGGUGGAUGCCUAGGCGGUCAGAGGCGAUGAAGGACGUGGUAGCCUGCGAAAAGUGUCGGGGAGCUGGCAACAAGCUUUGAUCCGGCAAUAUCCGAAUGGGGAAACCCACUGCUUCGGCAGUAUCCUGCAGUGAAUUCAUAGCUGCUGGAAGCGAACCCGGUGAACUGAAAUAUCUAAGUAACCGGAGGAAAAGAAAUCAACCGAGAUUCCCUAAGUAGUGACGAGCGAACGGGGAGCAGCCCUUAAGCUGGAAUGGCUUUAGAAAAACAAUCUGGAAAGAUUGGCCAUAGAAGGUGAUAGCCCUGUAUUUAAAAGGGCCACUCCAGUGAAGACGAGUAGGGCGGGGCACGUGAAACCCUGUCUGAAUAUGGGGGGACCAUCCUCCAAGGCUAAAUACUCCUGACCGACCGAUAGUGAACCAGUACCGUGAGGGAAAGGCGAAAAGAACCCCGGAGAGGGGAGUGAAAUAGAUCCUGAAACCGUGUGCGUACAAGCAGUAGGAGCUCGCAAGAGUGACUGCGUACCUUUUGUAUAAUGGGUCAGCGACUUACUGUUCGUGGCAAGCUUAACCGUAUAGGGGAGGCGAAGGGAAACCGAGUCUGAUAAGGGCGCAUAGUCGCGGGCAGUAGACCCGAAACCGGGUGAUCUAGUCAUGGCCAGGGUGAAGGUGCCGUAACAGGUACUGGAGGCCCGAACCCACGUCUGUUGCAAAAGACGGGGAUGAGCUGUGAUUAGGAGUGAAAAGCUAAUCGAACCCGGAGAUAGCUGGUUCUCCUCGAAAGCUAUUUAGGUAGCGCCUCGGACGAAUACUACUGGGGGUAGAGCACUGUUAUGGCUAGGGGGUCAUCGCGACUUACCAAACCAUUGCAAACUCCGAAUACCAGUACGUACUAUCCGGGAGACACACGGCGGGUGCUAACGUCCGUCGUGAAAAGGGAAACAACCCAGACCCACAGCUAAGGUCCCAAAUUCACUGCUAAGUGGAAAACGAUGUGGAAAGGCAUAGACAGCCAGGAGGUUGGCUUAGAAGCAGCCACCCUUUAAAGAAAGCGUAAUAGCUCACUGGUCGAGUCGGUCUGCGCGGAAGAUUUAACGGGGCUAAGCAGUGAACCGAAGCUUGGGGUGCAUAAAACUUGUUUUAUGCGCGGUAGAGGAGCGUUCCGUAAGCCUGCGAAGGUGGAUUGAGAAGUCUGCUGGAGGUAUCGGAAGUGCGAAUGCUGACAUGAGUAACGAUAAUGCGGGUGAAAAGCCCGCACGCCGAAAGCCCAAGGUUUCCUUGCGCAACGUUAAUCGACGCAGGGUUAGUCGGUCCCUAAGGCGAGGGCGAAAGCCGUAGUCGAUGGGAAGCAGGUUAAUAUUCCUGCACCUCGCGUGAGUGCGAUGGAGGGACGGAGAAGGUUAGGUGUACCGGGCGUUGGUUGUCCCGGGGAAAGGCGGUAGGUUUGGAUCUUUGGCAAAUCCGGGAUCCUUUAAGACCGAGCACCGAGACGAGCCUUUAUGGCGAAGUCACUGAUACCACGCUUCCAGGAAAAGCUCCUAAGCUUCAGCUCACGAAGACCGUACCGUAAACCGACACAGGUGGGUAGGAUGAGAAUUCUCAGGCGCUUGAGAGAACUCGGGUGAAGGAACUAGGCAACAUGGCACCGUAACUUCGGGAGAAGGUGCACCCUUUUUGGUGGCUCAUGCGAGCUAUAGCUGAAGAGGGUCGCAGAAACCAGGCCGCUGCGACUGUUUAUCAAAAACACAGCACUCUGCAAACACGAAAGUGGAUGUAUAGGGUGUGACGCCUGCCCGGUGCUGGAAGGUUAAUUGAUGGGGUCAGCCGCAAGGCGAAGCUCUUGAUCGAAGCCCCAGUAAACGGCGGCCGUAACUAUAACGGUCCUAAGGUAGCGAAAUUCCUUGUCGGGUAAGUUCCGACCUGCACGAAUGGCGUAACGACAGCGGCGCUGUCUCCACCCGAGACUCAGUGAAAUUGAAAUCGCUGUGAAGAUGCAGCGUUCCCGUGGCAAGACGGAAAGACCCCGUGAACCUUUACUAUAGCUUUACACUGAACGUUGAGUUCGUCUGUGUAGGAUAGGUGGGAGGCUAUGAAACUGUGGCGCUAGCUGCAGCGGAGCCAUCCUUGAAAUACCACCCUGUCGUGCUUGACGUUCUAACCUAGGUCCGUUAUCCGGAUCAGGGACCGUGUAUGGUGGGUAGUUUGACUGGGGCGGUCUCCUCCUAAAGAGUAACGGAGGAGCACGAAGGUACGCUCAGCGCGGUCGGACAUCGCGCACUGUGUGCAAAGGCAUAAGCGUGCUUGACUGCAAGAUCGACGGAUCAAGCAGGUACGAAAGUAGGUCUUAGUGAUCCGGUGGUUCUGUAUGGAAGGGCCAUCGCUCAACGGAUAAAAGGUACUCCGGGGAUAACAGGCUGAUACCGCCCAAGAGUUCAUAUCGACGGCGGUGUUUGGCACCUCGAUGUCGGCUCAUCACAUCCUGGGGCUGUAGUCGGUCCCAAGGGUAUGGCUGUUCGCCAUUUAAAGUGGUACGCGAGCUGGGUUCAGAACGUCGUGAGACAGUUCGGUCCCUAUCUGCCAUGGGCGUUGGAAGUUUGAGAGGGGCUGCUCCUAGUACGAGAGGACCGGAGUGGACGAACCUCUGGUGUUCCGGUUGUCACGCCAGUGGCAUUGCCGGGUAGCUAUGUUCGGAAGCGAUAACCGCUGAAAGCAUCUAAGCGGGAAGCGCGCCUCAAGAUGAGACUUCCCGGGGCACAAGCCCCCUAAAGGAACCAUGUAGACUACGUGGUUGAUAGGUCAGGUGUGUAAGUACAGCAAUGUAUUGAGCUAACUGAUACUAAUGAUCCGUGCGGCUUGACCAUAUAACCU
rnacentral:rRNA from 1 species